UACAGAGGGUGCGAGCGUUGUCCGGAAUCACUGGGCGUAAAGGGCGCGUAGGCGGCCUGGUAAGUCGGGGGUGAAACGCUGCGGCUCAACCGCAGCACUGCCUUCGAGACUGUCAGGCUUGAGCACGGUAGAGGCAGGUGGAAUUCCCGGUGUAGCGGUGGAAUGCGUAGAGAUCGGGAAGAACAUCGGUGGCGAAGGCGACCUGCUGGGCCGUUGCUGACGCUGAGGCGCGACAGCGUGGGGAGCAAACAGG
rnacentral:rRNA from 1 species